rnacentral:misc_RNA from 1 species
UCCGGUUUGUCACCGGCAGUCUCGUUAAAGUGCCCAACUAAAUGAUGGCAAUUAACGACAAGGGUUGCGCUCGUUGCGGGACUUAACCCAACAUCUCACGACACGAGCUGACGACAGCCAUGCAGCACCUGUGUUACGGUUCCCUUUCGGGCACUCUCCCAUCUCUGGGAGAUUCCGUACAAGUCAAGGGUAGGUAAGGUGGGGAUGACGUGCGUCAGUCAA